UACGGAGGGUGCAAGCGUUAUCCGGAUUCACUGGGUUUAAAGGGUGCGUAGGAGGGCAGGUAAGUCAGUGGUGAAAUCUCCAAGCUUAACUUGGAAACUGCCGUUGAUACUAUCUGUCUUGAAUACCGUGGAGGUGAGCGGAAUAUGUCAUGUAGCGGUGAAAUGCUUAGAUAUGACAUAGAACACCAAUUGCGAAGGCAGCUGACUACGGGAGCAUUGACACUGAGGCACGAAAGCGUGGGGAUCAAACAGG
rnacentral:rRNA from 1 species